UACUCCAACCCCUGUGACAUACCACUUGUUGCCUCGGCGGAUCAGCCCGCUCCCGGUAAAACGGGACGGCCCGCCAGAGGACCCCUAAACUCUGUUUCUAUAUGUAACUUCUGAGUAAAACCAUAAAUAAAUCAAAACUUUCAACAACGGAUCUCUUGGUUCUGGCAUCGAUGAAGAACGCAGCAAAAUGCGAUAAGUAAUGUGAAUUGCAGAAUUCAGUGAAUCAUCGAAUCUUUGAACGCACAUUGCGCCCGCCAGUAUUCUGGCGGGCAUGCCUGUUCGAGCGUCAUUUCAACCCUCAAGCACAGCUUGGUGUUGGGACUCGCGUUAAUUCGCGUUCCCCAAAUUGAUUGGCGGUCACGUCGAGCUUCCAUAGCGUAGUAGUAAAACCCUCGUUACUGGUAAUCGUCGCGGCCACGCCGUUAAACCCCAACUUCUGAAUGUUGACCUCGGAUCAGGUAGGAAUACCCGCUGAACUUAAGCAUAUCAAUAAGCGGAGGAAAAGAAACACCCCC
rnacentral:rRNA from 1 species